GUGAUUGAAUUAGCCUGUGGUGUGGCCUGGGCUUCAGAACUUUUUAAAAGCCCUCCAGUGAUUCUAAGGUGCAGGCAAGAUCGGUAAGCUCCAAGAAUAAAGCCCUUUGGGACCUCCACUUAACAUAUGGGCUUUACCUGGCAACCACAGAGGAGAACGUCUUGCAAAGGAGGUGAUCACAGCCAGAUGUGCUCAACACAAGCGUGUGGCGAAGCCAGACACCAUGUAAGAAGUUUGACUACUCUACUGGGGAAACUGUGGAGAGCGGCCCUGAGACUCCACACAGAGGGAGAGGGGCCAGCUGAGCCCAGCCUUGAGCUGUUCCUGACAAGACACCAGACAUGGGAGAGAAAAAGCCAUCUUGGAUCCAGCCACCCCCGGUGACACCACACAGAUCCGAGAACUGCCCAGUUGAGCCUUCUUAAAUCCCUGAACCACAAAGUUGUGAGCAAACUAAAAA
rnacentral:lncRNA from 1 species